ensembl:lncRNA
UGCCACUAAGGUUGUGAAGAAAACAUGCCAGGCUGUGACCCAGGUCACAUACUAAUACACAGACUAGCCCCCAAAUACUCACGAUCUGUUCAAGGGAUAAAUAGCAAGCCUGCUGCUCCAUAAUGGUGGCUUGUAAACCAAAGAAAAGCCAAAACUUCAUUUCAACCAAAUUCGCCAUUACAAACGCCACACAGAACAUGAAUGCAGCCCCAUUCCUACCAAUGACCAGAAUCAACCACGGAUCAGGACAGGGGUUCUCAUAAAGAGUUCCUGCUGAUUAUUUUAAAUUCAGAAAAGCAAAUAAAAAAUGACUUUAUCGCCAAUUAUUUGCGGAGAGUUUGGACGGCAGGUUUUUGGACUGAACGUAUCCUGUUUCACUUGAAAGCAGAGUUCAGCGUUUGGAUUAGAUGUAGUCAUUCACUGCAUUUUUUUAUUAUCCCCAAAGCUGAAUAAUAACACAGAAGCUCUUCUACACCGUCCCGUAACCCCUGUUUGUGGUGCAAAAAAAGGAUGCUGUGUGUUUAUACCUCAUGCACCAAUGAUUCCACUGAGGGUUAUUCUCAGGAAGAGUCAAUGAACCAUUGCAAGCAUUCUAACUACUGUUUGCUUGGGGAAAAAACUGAACCACUUCUGUAGUCAUGGUCAUGAUGGAAUUUACGGGGGAAAAAAUCGUAAAUGUUGUUUAUGAACGAAAAAAUGUAUUGCUUUAAAAUAAUUUUAAAAUAAUGAUCAUAUGGAUGUAAUCUAAUAAUACAUGCGGCGUAAUACAUUUUAAUAUAAAAUGUUGUAAAAUAGCUAUGUAAAUAGAAAUAUAAAAAUAGUUUAAUUCCUGAAAUGAGAGGAAUACCAGUACUUUUGAAAUACUAGGCCUACUUGCUAGAUUAAUAAUAUUGGUAGAACAGUUAUACAGAGAAUAUAAUGUUCCGUAUAUUUUCGAAGGCAGCGAUCAACUAUCCAAUUUUAUCUGUUUUUUGACGUGUGUGCACACAGACUUUUUAAAAUUAUUCUAUUUACUGCUUCUAAUAAAAGUCCAAUUUAUCUCAAAUAUCUAAAUUUACGCAGUAAUCCGUACUUUUACGGCAAAAACCAAUACGUGGCCAUGAAACACUCAAAACUAAUACUAAUAAUUAAACACGAGGUCUAUGACAUUUUAAUAUUUGCUUUUUAUUUGCCUCUGGAGAGUAUGGAGAGUAACUCCAUACUCUCCAGAGGCAAUUGAAAAGCAAAUAUUAAAACUGCUUGCAUUUCAAUUGCAUGAGGUCUAAAACAUUAAACACAGCACGUAAUAAAAGAACAUUAAACCAAAACUAUUUUACUGCAAACAUUGAAAACAAUUUAAAUUUAAAAACAAAUGGAGAGGGAGUGUGCUGAUUCAUCUAACUGACAAACUCACUCAAUUAUCUGUGCUUUGCUAUGUGUGUACGGACAUCUGCUGACGUUUAUCACGCAAGGUGUAGUCUGCUAGACUGGAAUGGUUUGCCAAGGCCAAUUCCAAAAUAUCUUGUCUCUUGUGGGUUACUUUUCUGUCUAACUUUGUUUAUGUGGCUGUGGUACAAACCAGAGGGAGAAAAUAUGAGUGCAGGUUAUAAUUAAACACUUGACUGACCAGACAACGCAGAUAAGCAUACAAUUACACAUUCCUGAGCUAGACAUCUGCAACCCAUGGCAAUCAGUCCAUGCUGCAGCUUCAAUCAGAGGGCCCUGCAUCAGGAAGGCAAGUCCCAUGCUAAGCCUAAUCACUCCUCACAGACGGAGCCUGUAAGGAUUAUGCAUGGGGUACAUCCACAAACAGGCACAAUUAACUGGACAUACAUGAUUCAGGCAAGAUUGUGGCCCAAAGUGAAAAGCACAGACUUACAGUAGGAGACUAUUUACAAAUGAAACCCAUUCAAAUGGUGUAGAAUACAGAUGGGAAAUAUGUGAGAUGUGCCAGCCAUAGCAACUGACUGACUAACCUGCCAGAAGUAUGAAGAGACUAAGUGUGGGCAUUGCUUACUGACCUGGCCUGCAUUUCCCUGAAAGCAUUGUUGAUCAGCCACCGUGUUAACGAAGAGUUAACUGUGCAAUUGUUAUCUAGCUUUUAUUGACUCCUAUGGGACAGUGGGGAGAGAAAUCACCCAUGAAGAGAACCCCAGGAAAUCUGAGAUUACUUAAGGCCUAGAUCUUCAAAUCCAAUCUGCAAAUAUAAUAUACAUCAUAUAAUAAACUGGUCUGUUUUGUCCUGCAUCAGUACAACCAUAGAGGCUGUGAUUUACUGAUCAUUAAAAUGAAUGUGACUGAUGCCAUUAAAGGGGAAACGCACAGCUUACCAAUAGGCGUUACAGGUUUUGUGCCAGAAGCCAAAACAGCUGAGCUUUAAGGUGCCAGUAUGGUACUCAAACUCCGUUACGGAUGGGUGGGCCGCCGGAUAGGACGGAUUAAUUAGCAUUUCUGUUGCCUUUAUGGUUCUCCGAAGGCUGGGGGUGCUGAAAACAAUUCACCGCCAGAACAGUAGGUGGAGAAGCGUUUUUUUGUCGUAGACACGUUGCUUUGCAACGCCUUUGUAAGUUAGAAAUCGUCGUUGUUUAUCUCCCUCUUCCCGUCCACGUGUGACCCUCCUACCAGCUGUCACUAGUCAGACCAUAAGUGCAGCAGGUGUAGUCACAUGAUAUUAUAUUCAAGGGUGUGUCUAAUGCCAUAUAACCACCUGAAAGGGCAAACUUAUCUCUAUCAUGGUAGGUAUUAUUUGUGGGGAAAAUAGUAGCACUCUAUAACAAAAUGAUAUGCUUAUCUUAUAUACACUAUUAAAACUAUUAAAAAACGAUUCCCUUAAAUGAAUACGUUCUUAUUUUCUUUGGUAUUUUUGUCAUAUUCAGAUUUGCAAUGAUGAUUGCUGGGUAAUAUGUAUGUUGUGGUCCAAUGUCAAGUCUCUAUUUUAUCAUGUGACAAGACGAUGGUAUAGCUAGUUUAGGCACAGCAUCUGAACGUCAAGACCGACAAGCUGACAGUGUUGUACAAGUUCACACCUCUCAUGAACCAGUUCAAAGUUCAGUUCAAACAAGUAAACAUG